GGAGGAGCGAGACGCUCGGCUUUCAUCACUGAUUCUGGAGCUCUGACAGCAGGAGAAAGAGCAAAGUCAUGAGUGAAAGGUUGCAGAUCAUCUAGAAAUUAGCAAGCAUUCAUUCACACAGCUACUGACCCUGCUGGAUAUCACACUGUAAUCAUCAUCGUAGCCGUUCCUCUGUGAGUAAAGAACGUGAAGGUGACAGAGAAGAGGAGGAGCCCUUAGAGAGGAAGAGUGGGAGAACAGUGAAGGGGACAGAAAGAUGACGCUAACAAAACAGAACUGGUCUGCGCUGGUCUUAGAAGAUUUAAGGAUUGCUGAAUGCCUCCUUACGCCUCCAGAAUGCAAAUAUUCCUCCCAAGACAUGAUGUGCGUCAAUCUAGUAAAUUGUAUGAAAGGGCAGAGUGAAUUAAUUCAGUAAUUGAAUUUUCUUAAUAAAGUUGGAGAUAAACUUCUUCCUCUUCUGUUAUGUUUCCAGCAGUUUAGAUGCUUCACAGCGGGUAGAACGCCACUUUAGGGCAUGUGAAUACACAUCUUAUUUAUUUAGCGUUCAUGUCAAAGUUGGAACCUCUAAUUAUAAUGAUUUCAGUCAGAUACGAGAAACACAGCCCAUGUAACCACAGAUACUGUUACUAAUAAUAGGAAAACCAAACCAACACACAACACAUGCACCAUGGUCUCUUUAUACAUGGGUGAAAUGCAUACCAAAGACCACAAUCUUUUAACAUGCAAUUAAAUUGCCAAAACUAACCGAUUUAUCUAAAAAAUGAAUAAAUAAAAAAACAGAGUGAGCCAGAUUUCCAGGAUCUCGUGUGCCCACGAGAACGAUUAGUAUGAAGAGUUUUUCCACAUUACACAGCACAGAAGAAAUAGCACUCGACAUUUUGAGACAUAACACAGCCUAAAAUAGUGUCGAGUGUGUUUUGGUUGGAGCCUGAUAGCUCCAUAACACACCCUAUUCUUUCAGUCAAAAUCAGAUCUGAGUCCAGGGUAGUCAAUGUUCCUUCACAACAGCAAAAACAAGCACACGACCGAAUACAAUCACACAUAAAAUGUUCCUCUGCAAUCACAAACUCUACAAUCAUUGACUCACUUUCAUCCUGUGCACAGUAAAAAUAAUAUAAACUCAAACUUAAUCCAUUUAAAUCACAGCACACAAACAUGCUUUGUAUUAUAAAUAAAGAUGUUCUUAUUUCUUCUGCGUAAACCCCACAAGGAUGAAACAGAGAAACUCCAUGCUUUGAAUUCUUUAAACUACCUGUUAGUCAAACAACGGCUCAUACACACUACAAAUCUUCAGGUAGCAGGGUUAAAAAUUCAUA